rnacentral:rRNA from 1 species
AGUGAACGCUGGCGGUAGGCCUAACACAUGCAAGUCGAACGGCAGCACAGUAAGAGCUAGCUCUUACGGGUGGCGAGUGGCGGACGGGUGAGGAAUACAUCGGAAUCUACUUUUUCGUGGGGGAUAACGUAGGGAAACUUACGCUAAUACCGCAUACGACCUACGGGUGAAAGCAGGGGAUCUUCGGACCUUGCGCGACUGAAUGAGCCGAUGUCGGAUUAGCUAGUUGGCGGGGUAAAGGCCCACCAAGGCGACGAUCCGUAGCUGGUCUGAGAGGAUGAUCAGCCACACUGGAACUGAGACACGGUCCAGACUCCUACGGGAGGCAGCAGUGGGGAAUAUUUGACAAUGGGCGCAAGCCUGAUCCAGCCAUACCGCGUGGGGGAAGAAGGCCUUCGGGUUGUAAAGCCCUUUUGUUGGGAAAGAAAAGCAGCAGGUUAAUACCCCGCUGUUCUGGCGGUACCCAAAGAAUAAGCACCGGCUAACUUCGUG